CCUACGGGAGGCAGCAGUGGGGAAUCUUGCGCAAUGGGCGAAAGCCUGACGCAGCAACGCCGCGUGCGGGAAGAAGGCUUUCGGGCUGUAAACCGCUUUCAGCAGGAACGAAAAUGACGGUACCUGCAGAAGAAGGAGCGGCCAACUAUGUGCCAGCAGCCGCGGUGAUACAUAGGCUUCAAGCGUUGUCCGGAUUUAUUGGGCGUAAAGAGUUCGUAGGCGGUCAAGUAAGUCGGGUGUGAAAAUUCUGGGCUCAACCCAGAGACGCCACCCGAUACUGCUUAACUUGAGUUCGAUAGGGGAGUGGGGAAUUCCUAGUGUAGCGGUGAAAUGCGCAGAUAUUAGGAGGAACACCGGUGGCGAAGGCGCCACUCUGGAUCGAUACUGACGCUGAGGAACGAAAGCAUGGGUAGCAAACAGGAUUAGAUACCCUGGUAGUCCAUGCCGUAAACGGUGGGCACUAGGUGUGGGUUUCUAUUAACGAAAUCCGCGCCGUCGCUAACGCAUUAAGUGCCCCGCCUGGGGAGUACGGUCGCAAGACUAAAACUCAAAUGAAUUGACGG
rnacentral:rRNA from 1 species